rnacentral:misc_RNA from 1 species
UAGUCAACAACAAACUGACAAGGAUGGAACAAAUCCAACAGGCGAUCGAUCAGCACCUCGUCGAGCUCGAACAGCUCUUCCAGGUGUUGAUGGACACACGCGUUGCACUCGGCGGAGUGACCGUGGUCCAGGUGAACGAGAUGCGAACGUUCGUGAUAAGCGCCCACGCCGCAGCAUGCCGCCUUCACGUUCUGUCUCAUCGGUACCCCCCCCCUCCAGUAGCGGGGGAGGAGCCGAUGGAGACAGAGUAGAAGGAGCUGCCCGUCCGCGCAGACAACGUCGCACUCCCGUGUAGGCAGUCACCUGCCCGCUCCCACCCCCCCCGGGCCUAUGGGCCCCCUAGUCAGCUUUACGCUGUCAUACGCUUAGGC